AUUUGUGACCAGACUUUUUCUGGGCGGAUCAUCCGGGGUUCUCUCCGGUGCACUUUGCCCAGUAAAGGCCAGCAUCGAUUUUCGGCGGCGGAUAAAAGCAGUGGGAAUGUGGCUCCCUACGGGGAGUGUUAUAGCCCAUUGUACAAUACGCUGCUGGGGAUCGAGGUACGCGCUUCUGCAAGGAUGCUGGCGUAAUGGUUAUCAAUCA
rnacentral:rRNA from 1 species